GAUCUAUUUUUAUUUUGUUAAGGAGAAAGGGACGCCUUGAUUGUCGUAUUGAUUUUGUUUUCUUUUUGUUCCAACAGAUGGAAACUGAUGAAGAGCUGGAAGGAGCUAACUGAUGAGUAGACAUUACAACAUUUCUUAUAUUUUCAAGAUGAAGCUGAAAGUCCCAUGCAGGAUGAUGCUUCUCUACAGUGGAUGAUGAAAGCAUGCUGAUUACAAACCCAGGAGAGGAAUAAAGAACAUAUAUUGACAGAAUCAUAUCUAGAGAUGUGGGCCUACUGCACUUCAUACAAGCAAGUGUGCUAAUAUACCAUACUUGGGUUAUCAUCACAGCCCUUUCUUCUGAAAACUAGCCUACAACUUCAUCGAUGAAUGCAGAAGACAUCUACAUGGGACUACGUCUUAAAGAUGCCC
rnacentral:lncRNA from 1 species